UAUAAGUGCGGUUGUGAUUUUUCUUCUCCAACGUUUGACCAUCCGUCUUAUUUAAAAAAAAAUAUGAUUAGUAUUUUUAUUGUUAUUAGAUGAUAAAACAUGAAUAAUACUUUAUGUGUGACUUUUAUAAUUUUUUUUAAAAAUUUUUUAAAUAAGACGGACGGUCAAAUGUUAAACACAGAAACCCACACCUGCACAUAUU
rfam:Oryza barthii chromosome 8, whole genome shotgun sequence.